rnacentral:rRNA from 1 species
CUACGGGUGGCACCAGUGGGGAAUAUUGCACAAUGGGGGAAACCCUGAUGCAGCAACGCCGCGUGGAGGAUGACACAUUUCGGUGCGUAAACUCCUUUUAUAUGUCAAGAUAAUGACGGUAGCAUAUGAAUAAGCUCCGGCUAACUCCGUGCCAGCAGCCGCGGUAAUACGGGGGGAGCAAGCGUUACUCGGAAUCACUGGGCGUAAAGAGCAUGUAGGCUGGUAGAAAAGUUGGAAGUGAAAUCCUGUGGCUUAACCAUAGAACUGCUUCCAAAACUCUCUACCUAGAAUAUGGGAGAGGUAGAUGGAAUUUCUGGUGUAGGGGUAAAAUCCGUAGAGAUCAGAAGGAAUACCGAUUGCGAAGGCGAUCUACUGGAACAUUAUUGACGCUGAGAUGCGAAAGCGUGGGGAGCAAACAGGAUUAGAUACCCCCGUAGUC